UGUUCCACUGAUUUCAUAGGAACACUCUGUUUUAAAAUUUUAUCAUAAUUAUCACAAAUGGUUUUGUGUUAUGGUUAACAUUGCUUCCAUUAGUGAGCUAUACGUGCAGUUUAUCUGUGUAAUGUUGCAUUGCGCAUAACAUAUUCCUACUAGUUUCUAUUAUUGAUUAACUUUACCCUUAUAUGAUAAUUUAAUUUAUGAUUUUAUUUUUUAGUGAGCUGAAAUACAAUACACAACAGCUUUCAAGGGAAAUGUAUCUGGAUUCAUAUCACUUUGUCUCUUCAAAUCAUUCGUCGUUUUCCUGUUUACUUUGGAUCUUAUACAUGUUAAUUUUUCAUCACAUUAAUGUGUAUAGCUAGUUAAUUUGAGCUGAAAUACAAUACACAACAGCUUUCAAGGGAAAUGUAUCUGGAUUCAUAUCACUUUGUCUCCUCAAAUCAUUCGUCGUUUUCCUGUUUACUUUGGAUCUUAUACAUGUUAAUUUUUCAUCACAUUAAUGUGUAUAGCUAGUUAAUUUGAGCUGAAAUACAAUACACAACAGCUUUCAAGGGAAAUGUAUCUGGAUUCAUAUCACUUUGUCUCUUCAAAUCAUUCGUCGUUUUCCUGUUUACUUUGGAUCUUAUACAUGUUAAUUUUUCAUCACAUUAAUGUGUAUAGCUAGUUAAUUUGAGCUGAAAUACAAUACACAACAGCUUUCAAGGGAAAUGUAUCUGGAUUCAUAUCACUUUGUCUCCUCAAAUCAUUCGUCGUUUUCCUGUUUACUUUGGAUCUUAUACAUGUUAAUUUUUCAUCACAUUAAUGUGUAUAGCUAGUUAAUUUGAGCUGAAAUACAAUACACAACAGCUUUCAAGGGAAAUGUAUCUGGAUUCAUAUCACUUUGUCUCUUCAAAUCAUUCGUCGUUUUCCUGUUUACUUUGGAUCUUAUACAUGUUAAUUUUUCAUCACAUUAAUGUGUAUAGCUAGUUAAUUUGAGCUGAAAUACAAUACACAACAGCUUUCAAGGGAAAUGUAUCUGGAUUCAUAUCACUUUGUCUCUUCAAAUCAUUCGUCGUUUUCCUGUUUACUUUGGAUCUUAUACAUGUUAAUUUUUCAUCACAUUAAUGUGUAUAGCUAGUUAAUUUGAGCUGAAAUACAAUACACAACAGCUUUCAAGGGAAAUGUAUCUGGAUUCAUAUCACUUUGUCCUCAAAUCAUUCGUCGUUUUCCUGUUUACUUUGGAUCUUAUACAUGUUAAUUUUUCAUCACAUUAAUGUGUAUAGCUAGUUAAUUUGAGCUGAAAUACAAUACACAACAGCUUUCAAGGGAAAUGUAUCUGGAUUCAUAUCACUUUGUCUCUUCAAAUCAUUCGUCGUUUUCCUGUUUACUUUGGAUCUUAUACAUGUUAAUUUUCAUCACAUUAAUGUGUAUAGCUAGUUAAUUUGAGCUGAAAUACAAUACACAACAGCUUUCAAGGGAAAUGUAUCUGGAUUCAUAUCACUUUGUCUCCUCAAAUCAUUCGUCGUUUCCUGUUUACUUUGGAUCUUAUACAUGUUAAUUUUUCAUCACAUUAAUGUGUAUAGCUAGUUAAUUUGGGCUGAAUUUCAAGACAUCAGUUUUCAAGAAAAAUGGAUUUGGAUUCAAAGACAUUGAUUUUUAAAAACAUUCAUUAUUUUGCUGAACACUUAUGAUCUGAUGUAUGUAAAUUAUUCAUCACAUUACUCUGAAAGGUAGGUAAUUUAUUGUAAAAAUGCCUGGGUGUGCUGCUAUUGGGUGCUCGAACUCAUACAAAAAAAAGGGUUUCUUAUGAAAUAUUUUCCAAAAGAACCGGCUUAAAGGAAAUUGUGGCUAUCAAAAAUGAAGAGAGAUAAUUGGAUUCCAAAUAAUUACUCAUGUCUUUGUGAAUGAGCUGAAUUACAAGGCACAACAGUUUUCAAGAAAAAGGAUUUGGAUUCUAAGUACAUUAAACUUUUAAAAUCGUUUUGCUGAACACUUAUGAUCAAAUAUAUAUUAAUUUUUCAUCACAUUAAUCUGUUAAGCUAGUUAAUUGUAAGUUUAUUUAAGUUCUAAGUUUCAAUAGGAUUUAGUUAUUAACUAAAAUAGAAUUUUAAAAACACAGUAUUCUGUUUUCAUCAUUUGAACGGGAAUAGUUCAUUUUAAAUCUGUUCUAUUACACAGUUUGCCUUUUUAUUCUAUGUAGUCCUAAUAUUAUUUAUAUAGACUUAAAAAACGCCAGCCUUUGAUAAAAUUAAAAAUAAUAUGUUCCCAUUAGGAACUUAUAAUUGUCAUUAUCAUUUAGAAACAUAUGUCGAUGAUAACCUUUUACUGAUUAAAUUAUACUGAAUAUUAAUAAUUUGUCAAAUGAAGGCUGAUAUAAGUACCUACAAUAUAUUAUAUUAUAUUAUAUUUGUGCACUGUUUACAGUUCAUGUUUCAUUUUUUUUACUUGUACGCUUACACUUACACUUACUUUUUGGACACGAUUUGCAUGUCUAUCUUAUAUAAUAAUAACCUUGUAUCCCUACCUAUACUUAUGCCAAAAAUUGCUAAAAAAAUUCAACUUAAAAAAAAUAGAUAAUUUUUGUUGUAUAUCAAAAGUAUAUAAGUAUUUAUCAAGUAUUGUAUAAUUAUUUUUUUUACAUUUUUACAAUUUUUUAUAUAUAUAUUUUUUUUAAUAUUUUAAACAAAUUGACAAUAUACAUUAAAUGGCAGCAUUGCACAGACAA